CUUGUCCCAGCUUCUCCCAUGUUCUCUCUCUAUGUUUUUACCUUGAAAACUUCUGCUCAGAGCUGGGAAUGCCUGAAGGGCUUGCACGAAUAGGAAAGCUGAUUACCUGGCUCCAUAUUCCAUGUGCAGUUUCAUGUUACCAAACUGAUCAGAAAAGAACUGGGCCAACCCUGGGGGAACAGAAAGAACAUCUCACAACCCACCCCUACCCAAGAGGGGCUAGAUGACACAUGGUGCAGAGUAUUGACAGAUGUGGGAUAUGUCUAGAUAUGUCUAAAGGCACAGAAAAAAAUUCCAUAUGGGAGAGAUUUAAAAGAUUUGCACUAUGUAGUUUAAAGAGAAGAUGAGUAAUAGGCCAUGAUACACAUUUAUGAAUUAAUGUAUGAUAUAGAGAAUAUAUAUAUGGAAGUCCUAUUUACCCUUUCUCGUGACAUUAGAACAAAGAGACCCCAAUAAAAUUACAAGCAAGACAUCUGAAAAUAAUAAAAAGAAAUACUUAUUUUUCAUAGCCUGCACUUAACCUGUGGAACUCAUUGUCGUGAGAUAUUAUUGCAGCUUAACAGGAUUCAAAACAGAAGUAAACAUUUAUAAUACCAACUCCCAUAGUUACAUUAGACAGAAAAAAACAUUCUAUGGAAUAUAAAACUUCAUGCAUUCAGACAUAAAGCAGCCAACUGCCUGGGUUUAGGAAGAAACUUUUCCAUUAGGAAAGUUGCAUAUAGCUGCUCAUUAAGUGGUUUCUUGCACCUUUCUCCUCAAAAGCAUGUAAUAUUGGCCAAUCUUGGAAAUAGGACAGUGGACUAGCUGGACUGUGAGAAUUUCUAUAUUCCUUUGAUAUUAAUAGUUUGCUUUGAAUUUCCAUGGACACAAAGCAAGAUGGACUAAUUUGAC